UGUUAUUUAAUACGGUAUAUAUAUCAUAACAGUAUAAUAUUAUUAUAUUUAAAAUAUUGACACGACCACGACUGCCUCUCGUGAUCAAUUACAAAAAUAAUCGCGAAAUAGUCAUCAAAUAUUAAUGCCCAGCUCUGAUCCAGCCGGCGUUGCUAUCUAUUAACGGCAAGAAACGAUUAAAUAACAAUUUCUCUAGCGUUCAUUAAUAUUUCUUUUCCGGUCGCCUAUUUGGGCGACUUUAGUAUCAUAGCGACACGGAGGUGUCGCUGUUCUCGAGCAUCGAAACCGAUUUUCGAAACUUAACCUAACUUCACGACAGACAAAAAGUCUCCUACGCUCGACAGCCUGGCCCCUCGAUCUGACCUCUUCGUUCGGCGAGCUUUGAACUCUCGUAGAUACCGUUAGAGCACCAGAAACGUUUCUCCGACUGAUUAAUUAGCGAUAAUCAUUACCUUAUAAAUUAGAACCUAUAAAGCCGUUAGGGUCUCGAUUACGUUGUUCAAUGCUUCUCAUUUCUUUCCGUCGUGUUCGAAAGUCUACGCCACCUCGGUAAACAUUCAUUUGUAUUCUCUCGCCAUUUUGAAAAAUAGAAACAACAAUAUGGCAACACGGUGUUCCAUGCUGUUCCGCAAAAAAUAAAAAUAAAAAAAAAGAAACUAACAACAUUUAAUCGAACGACAGACGAUAAUUUGACGCGAAAACAGUUAAAUUGUAACGAUAUAUAUUCGAUCUCGAUGAUUCGGCGACCGUAAUAAUAAUAAUAAUAAUCGUUUACGAAAGCGUUCUCCAACCGGAAGCUCGGCUCGCAAGGAACGUACGACUGAUUUCACACACCGAUCUUAGACUUGUAAGAAUGAAGGCGAACGAAGGAGGGCGUCGUCGGAACUUUUAUCACGUAAUCCCUAAUACUCUGGUAAAAUGCAUGUAUUUUCGUAAUGCCAAAAAUAAAGGAAACAGUGCAAGAGUUAUUUGCAAAACGAAAAUGUGUCGAAAUGAUUCUACGAUCGACGUGAUUUCAAUUCGGAGAAAAGAACAAUUUUACCGGACGACCGAGAAAAAGAUUACUUGUCGACGCGUGCGCAAAGGGAACCGGCGCACGCUGCAUCGAAAGUGCGUCUUCCCGAUGAUCCGAUUAAUAAUAACCAACAAUCGAACUUACCUGUUUCAGGAAAGAUGCAUCCCCCGACUGAAGCGCAAGAAGCCUCGUUGCACGAGCCGGUCCGUCGUUUUUCUUGGUUCAACACUUCACAACACAGUUCACAAUUUUUAAUAAGAAAACGUUUCGCGAAACGACGCUCCGAUCUUCAUUGCAGCGGUCGAUCCUCUGGUCUCGCUGAUCCACCUGAAGUUCGAUCCAAGUGUACCCUCGUUCGCAUAGGUGUCGCUGCGGUCGGCGAGCUCAGCGCCACCUGGCGCGGAAGCUGUGCUCUCGGAAGUUGAUCUGCCAGUGUCACAUUCGACGGUGACGCGUUCUGUAGUUUCUUCGAUCGAAAAUGUGCGCGCGGCAAUCUCGUCUUUCACAGACGGAGUUUGGGGUUACUUUUGAGCAUAUUUCGCGCGGAAUGUUACCGUGAACGAUCGCGAUCGCGGUAUCAUCGGGACAAAAAGUGUGUGAUCGGUGCUUCUUUCGUGCAAUUCGGUGUCGAGUGCUCGCUUCGAAAAGCUUGGAAAGCUGCGCCGAAAAGCUUGGAGAGAUUAUUUUCGCGUUGAAUCGAGUUAUAAACUCACGUCUGCAAUAUUCUUCGCGUCUCUCGUCGCAAUUUUCUGUGCCUGUGUUAUAUAUAUAUGCCGCAGCAGUGUUCGUUCGCGAGGAAGAGAAACAAUAAUAUCGAAUCACCGACUCGUUGUUCUUGUAUCGGGCAGACUGGGGUUUCCACGUGUGCUGCGAGUGCAAGAAAACGUACAGGUCGAGAAUGGCGCUGAACCGGCACGUGCGGGAGGAGUGCGGCAGGAUCUUGUACACGUGCCCCUUCUGCUACAGUGUGAUGCCGAUGAAGUUCAACCUGCUGAACCAUUUGAAGAAGGAGCACGGCUGCGCGACGAAGAUCUAAACGGACUGCCGGAUGCCCGAUGCUCGCCGAACGAUCUGAUCUGGCUCUCGUUUAAACGAGACGCGAGCUCGCGUCGAAAUGCGAGCCUGCAAGCUGUUUCUCGAUUGUAAAGCCACGUGGGCCGGCGCGUUGCCGACCGAACGACCGACGACCGAGCUUGAGAUUCCGCGAAGAAUUCUGCGUCGACAGCGUUGAAACUGCUCCCUGUUGACAUCACAAUUAUGCAACACCCUGCACAUAAACACGGAUAAUUCAGACCCGUGAAAGUGUUCCGAAAACACGAUCUGCAAAAGGAUUGAUUUCGAACGGAAAAAAAAGCGAAUACAAUCCGCGAAAAGAUUAAUUUGUGGCGCAAAGGACCUGCAAGUAGAAACGUCACGCAAUGGUCAGACGCGGCGUGUUCCAACUCGACUUUUCUCGCAAACGGAGGGAGUCUCGUUCAAGGAAAUUUCUGCGUCGGCAUUUCCGACGCAUCUUUCGACGAAAAAGCGGUCGUUCGUCGGUCGGCAAAGCCGGUUCGCCUCCGGCAGCCUCGUCUCCCCUCGAGAAGAACGAACCGUCGUCGACGGUUCUCUUCGUUCGUGCGAAUGACCGGUUGUCUGACCGGAAGUCAGUGGCACACGUGCAAGGCCUGCGGGAACGUGUACAUGUAUUACAGCUCGUUGACCAGACACAUACGCGAGGAGUGCGGCCAGCCGCCGAAAUAUCUCUGCCCGUACUGUCCGAAGAGAACGAAGUUACGGUGCAACUUGUUGAAACAUAUGCGAAAAAAGCACGGCUGAGUCCCCGAGGGCCCGAUUGAUCAGCGACAGCCGGGAUGAAAAGACGCGAGAGCCAGCCAAGCCCGAUAUUCUCUGUCGUCGAAAGCGGGGCCCUCGCCAGCGAGUAUUCGAUAAACGAACGAACAAGCAAACAAAAUCGCUAUCACGUCGACGACAUCCGUCGGGAAUUAUUACUGUCGCGGACUACCGUCAGAGAGAGAGAGAGAGAGAGAGAGAGGGUUGGUUCUCUUUAGCGGAGACACGAAAGCCCCCCGAAAAUUUCCCAUCCAAAGAGACUUCUCUGUAAAAUAGUGUACAUUUCUUUCUAAAAGCAUGCCCUUGGUCUUUGUAAAUAAAACCACUAAGAAGCUA